UCAAAAGAACCUAUAUCCAAAGAGCUGGGUUCUCCUUUCAGAUGUGAUGUUGAAUAGCUUUUAUGUCCCUUCUACUUCGUCUUCAAACUCGAGUUCAAAUCUCCUUCCCUCUGAAAACCCCCUCUCGACUGUGCUACCCAUUGUAAAGACUGACUCUUCAUUGAAGCCAUUGUCCUAGGACCACCAUACUGUGAGGAAGCCCAAGAGAAGCCAUGCAGAGAAAGAAAAAUGCUUGGCUAGUUUCCAGAUGUUCGAGCCACCCCACAGAAAGCAGGUGACA